UACGUAGGGACCGAGCGUUGUCCGGAAUCAUUGGGCGUAAAGAGCGUGUAGGCGGCCAAUUAAGUCCUGCGUGAAAUCUCGGGGCUCAACCCCGAGCGGUCGUGGGAAACUGGUUGGCUAGAGUGCGGGAGAGGAGAGUGGAAUUCCUGGUGUAGCGGUGAAAUGCGCAGAUAUCAGGAAGAACACCCGUGGCGAAAGGCGGCUCUCUGGAACGCAACUGACGCUGAGACGCGAAAAGCGUGGGGAGCAAACAGG
rnacentral:rRNA from 1 species